GGAUUUUUAAAUUGACUUGGCAGAAGGGGUAGAUUUCAGAUUAAAUUCCAUUUGAGCAAAUAAAAAAGCAUUUAUUCACUUCAGCAUUUUCCUUUUUUUUCAUAAGUGGAAAUUCUGUUAGUUCAACUCAUUGCAUUGUAUUAUUCUUGAAAUGUGCCAUAAUCCUUUCAUAUUUCAGUAUUGUUAUGGCUGAAUUCAUUUAUCAUCACAGUAAGUGACCCAGAAUUUGAGAGUACCUUCCCUUAGCCUCAGAUAUAUGAUACUUUGAAAAGAAGCUGUUGCUGAAAAUAAAGGACUAUACUGAAAUGUAACAGUGAAUGGAAGGUCAAUUCAAAUUUAUUAUCAGACAAAGCUUCUAAAUGGAGUGUUUUUUGGAACGGUCUUCUAAAACUAAGAUUGGCUAUUUAAAAAUAGCCUGAAUGAAACAUUAGUAAAUAUCCUGUAAGACAUGUCCUGUUUUUUUUUUGAGAAAUGUGCUGACAUGAUUCUUCUUUUGCAGAUAUGAGAACUAGGCUUGUUUUUUGAGUUGGAAAAAGGAGGGGAAUUGUAUUUUUAUUACAAUUUUUGUUAAUCAUGAACUUCUAAUCAUGGUAGACUUAAACGAUUGUUUAAAAGAUUAGGAAGCCUCAAAUAUUACUAGAUGAGGAUUUUUUAUAGUCUCCUUCAUUCCAUUAUGAAAGGAAUGCUUACAGUUGUAGAGAAUUUUUAUACAGUUCUAUCUAUAAAUUCUUUUAGUACUCUUAUCUGUCAAAACUACUCUGUUGUCUUCAGUUAGGCAACUGAUUUUCCUAAUGCUCUGCUUUCGGCUCUUUUUCAACCAUAUGUGGGUUGUACUACACAAAUGAAGAUGGUGUUACUAACUUGGCUCUCCAGAAUGUUCAAUUUCAGUUGUCAUCUUUUCUUCCUUUUAUUUUCAGUAAUAAGGUAUAUGAAUCAAACAUGUAGUAACAUUUAAGUGAGUUACUAGUAUAGGUUAGUGGACAGUACACUGCAUUUGAAAGCAAAAGACCUGAAGUUUAAUACUAAUUUUAUUAUGUAUAGCUAGUGGUUUUCAGUGGAACAGCAAACCUCUGAAAUGCUUUGUUUAAAAAGGGGGUCUAGAGUUUAAAAAUUUGUGAUGAAAUGAGCAUCUCAAGAAAUGUCUUUGUCCCAGAGAUAUACAAUGCACAUUAGCAUGUUAAAGCCUCUGAGACAUCCUAUCAUAAAACUAUCCAAUGAAUUUGGUUUUACCAAGUAUUUUCCAUACCUCCUUUGACCACAGAAUCUAUUUUGACUAUAAUAUUGCCUGGAAUUAGUAAUCCAUAACAAGCCAUUUGAAAAAAAUACUGCUAUAAUUGGAAUCACUGCUAUUUCCCUUAAAUCCAGAUUUUUCUAAGCUUUCUAAGCUAUGUGAACUUCUAGAACCAUGUACUUGCUCUGAGCCAAAAGCCAAGAAAUUAUAUUUCCAUUUAAAUGUUUAGACAUUUGUCUGCAUGUCUAAGGAUCCACAAUUUUGGUCAAGAAUGGUCUGCAAUGGUUUGUAGUUUUAAUUAAAUCCAAUGUCUUCAAACUUGGCUCAUUGCUUUUCUUUUCAAAUUUUACUCAUUAAUUACUUUUAUUUUUUCAGGGGAACACUAUUUAAUCUCUUGGUAAUUCUAAUUAGCGAGCCUCAGAUCCCAAAAUCCUGUCCUGUGUUUGAUAUCCAGUUGGUGGCUGAUUCAACUUUAGUUGAGAAGUCUUUUGAUGCUGAGGGAAAUCUUGGGCUGGGAACAACAAAGCUUGCUAUUAGCUGGAUGAUGUCCUUUCUACAAAGUUGUCCUCCCAUAGUAAGUACCGAGAAACUAAAAGAAAACCACUACUCGAGGCAAUUAAACAAAUGCUCUUGAAUAAGACACAGAUUUUCUCUAAGUGCUCUUACCGAAAACCCAGCUAACGGUGACAUCAACAUCACCGAUGCCUUGUAGGAACAUCCUUGAAAGUCACAGGCACUUUAUCCCUGUGGGCCAUUUGUUCUUAACAGUAAAAUAGAAGAGAAACCAUCUUCCCCACUGGAUGAGGCCCUUUCCGAGCUCCCCUUCUACCCCUACUCCUGCUUCCAAUGUUCUCUUUCCACUUUGGAGCCUAGAUUUCCUUGACAGUCCAUUUAGUUCUGAUCCUGCUUGUAGGGUACAACUGGUAAACCCAGCUGGGCUAUGGUCUAGUGCGGUCUGAAUACCACUGCGACGAGAAACAGUGCAAGGCCACUGGUGUAAAGGGUGCUGAGGACUUCCACCUGCACUUACAGUUGAAGCUCUAACUGAAACAGGUGCUCUUAUGGGUGGCAUGAAGCCUGCAUGUAACUGCAUUUUCCUUGUCUAGAUUACUUUUGUGGCCACUGUUGUGAAACAAAUGGUGAAGGGGCUUUCAGCUUCAUUUCGGCUGCUAAGUCCCAGCCAAGCAGUUCUAUUGUACCAGCAGUUUUAUAUCCUGAAGAGCUGCCUACAGUACAGCAAGACCUUAGCUGAGCAUAUUAGGAAUGACUACAGAGAAGAAUUCAGGUACUUUAUUCACAUGCCAGCCUUGGAAAAGAAGCUCCCAUUGUGUUACCCUAUUACCCAGCCUACCACUCAACUUUUUCAUGAAGUUCUGAAAUUGGUUGAACAGAAACAAUAUGUGAAACAUUAAUGAGAGUAUACAAUGUUAAUCAGGAGUCAACUUAAUACUUAUGAAAAGCACUUUUUGAUUUUUUUAAUAUCUGGCUAUUGCUGUGCCCUAUAAAAGAUUUUAUUUGAAUGUUCUGUCUAUACCUAAGAAAAGUCUUUAAAGUUUUUUUUGCUACAAAAAAGGAACUGUUUAAAUUCACUGAUAUAUAUAAAGUGAUGCAAAAAAUUAGUGUUUCUCUAAAAAAAGUUUCUAAAGACAUAAAAAACUAUGCAGGGAACAAGCCCAUACAGAGCUAAUGUAGAAAGUGCAACCUGAUGAGUUUUGUUGGUGUAAUAACGGUAGAUGGUGUGAAGCCAGUGAAAUAUCCAGAGAUAAAUUAUUGGGUGUACAAAGUAGAGUGAUCAUCAGAGAAAUGCUGAGCAAUAGGACAACACCCUCCUUCCCCACCUGUAAAAAUUCUAGUGACGUAAGUAUUCAUGGGAGAAUGAGCAAUAAACUAAUUUAAUCAAUGAAAACUUAACUUUGGUAUUACAUUGAGCAACUGAAUUUAGGCUUCUAAGAACUUAGAAACUAGGCCCUCCAUUCAACUUACCAUGACUUGAGGGGGAAUCAGAGAAAAAUCCACCUCCAAAAACAUUACAUAGCAUCUCAAAGCUUCCUUCAAAACAAAGAUAGAUAACCUAUCCCAUAGGAUGUUAGGAGAUUUAAAUGAAAAGGUAUUGGUAAAGCACAGCAUGGUAUGUGGAUUUUUUUUUUCCUUUUUUGUAGUCACCCAUCAAGGACUACAAGUCUUCUCUCUAAUCUCCGGACAUAGAGAGGAGCUAAGUGGUGCUUAUGAAUGUUCUGGGCCUUUAGGUGAGGGAUUAUUCCCAAGAGCUGGUCAGUCAGAAGAAUAUGAAAAGAUUCUUGGGACAGAGGCAAGCAACACUUCAACUGGAAAAUGGUGGUUGGCAGGCUGACUACUGGGGAAUGAUGGAAGCCACAAAAUGACAAUAAGAGGAUCAUCUCAGCUCUAAGCUCUGCCUCAGCCUCUGAGAUGUGCCCUGGCUCUGGGCUGGUAGCAGCGCAAGCUCUGGAAAGGGUGUGGCAUUUCUUUCCCAUGUGCCUUCAUGUCCAUGUUGCCUCUUCACUCCCACUGUUCUCUUUACCCUGAGAGCAUACUUUAUCUAAUCCCUGGGAGCAAAAACUCUGUCAAAAUGUAGAUGUAGGAGCUUUCCACACAGGGCUAAGUCAGUAGCUUUUUUUUUAAAUUAAUUAAUUUUGUUGUCAUUAAUCUACAAUUACAUGAAGAGUAUUAUGUUUACUAGGGUCCCGCCUUCACCAAAUGCCCCCCACAAACCCCAUUACAGUACUGUCCAUCAGUGUAGUAAGAUGCUGUAGAAUCACUACUUGUCUUCUCUGUGUUGCACAGCCCUCCCCAUGCCCCCCACCACAUUAUACAUGCUAAUCAUAAUGUCCCCUUUCUUUUUCCCCACCCUUAUCCCUCCCUUCCCUCCCUUUCUCCCAAGUCCCUUUCCCUUUGGUAACUGUUAGUCCAUUCUUAGGUUCUAUGAUUCUGCUGCUGUUUUGUUCCUUCAGUCUUUCUUUGUUCCUAUAGUCUUUGGGUUUGAGGUGAGUCUCUUGUAAGCAGCACAGAGAUGGGUCUUGCUUUUUUAUCCAUUCUAUUAUUCUGUGUCUUUUGAUUGGUGCAUUCAGUCCAUUUACAUUUAGGGUGAUUAUUGAAAGAUAUGUACUUAUUGCCAUUGCAGGCUUUAGAUUCGUGGUUGCCAUAGGUUCAAGGUUAGCUUCUUUAGUAUCUUACUGUCUAACUUAACUCACUUAUUGAGCUAUUUUAAACACUGUCUGGUCAUUCUUUAUUUUUCUCCCUUCUUAUUCCUCCUCCUCCUCUGUUCUUUAUAUGUUGGUUGUUUUAUUCUGUGCUCUUUUGUGCUUCCUUUAACUGCUUUUGUGGGUAGUUGAUUUUAUUUUUUGCCUUUAGUUACUAUUUGGUUGGUCUGCUUUCUUUGCUGUGAUUUUAUUUUCUCUGGUGACAUCUAUUUAGUCUUAGGAGUGCUCCCAUCUAGAGCAGUCC